GACGAACGCUGGCGGCGUGCCUAAUACAUGCAAGUCGAACGCUUCUUUCCUCCCGAGUGCUUGCACUCCAUUGGAAAGAGGAGUGGCGGACGGGUGAGUAACACGUGGGUAACCUACCCAUCAGAGGGGGAUAACACUUGGAAACAGGUGCUAAUACCGCAUAACAGUUUAUGCCGCAUGGCAUAAGAGUGAAAGGCGCUUUCGGGUGUCGCUGAUGGAUGGACCCGCGGUGCAUUAGCUAGUUGGUGAGGUAACGGCUCACCAAGGCCACGAUGCAUAGCCGACCUGAGAGGGUGAUCGGCCACACUGGGACUGAGACACGGCCCAGACUCCUACGGGAGGCAGCAGUAGGGAAUCUUCGGCAAAGGACGAAAGUCUGACCGAGCAACGCCGCGUGAGUGAAGAAGGUUUUCGGAUCGUAAAACUCUGUUGUUAGAGAAGAACAAGGACGUUAGUAACUGAACGUCCCCUGACGGUAUCUAACCAGAAAGCCACGGCUAACUACGUG
rnacentral:rRNA from 1 species